rnacentral:lncRNA from 1 species
UACGUAGAUUUAAAGUUAGUUUUGUUUCGGGAGGCUAGUGUUUAAUGUAGUGAUCAUUGAUACCGUGUGUUCAAUUUUAAAUUGGACCUUCUAAUGGUUCUGCAAAAUUGUUAUAAAAUCUGUCUGAAGCAAUAGCUAUUUCGAGAGAGGCUCCCCGUCCAAACAGUAACUUUUGUAUAGAAGAACUUGGAAAUAGUAUUAAACAAUUUUGUGACAGCUCAUAUGUUUUAUGUUCAUGUCUGCUACUAUGUUCUGGUAAGUUUUCACGGGAAAGAAAGUAUUUUCUGCCCUGGACAACAAAAGAAUUUUUUUGAGAUAUAUAUUUUCUAGAAAUGCCAAAAUUUGAGCACUAAUUAAAAUUCCUUGUUUAGACCAUCUUCCAAAAACCCCACAAACAUGCAAGGCAAAAAAAAAAUCAGGCGAAAACAUUGGAGGUGUAAUGUUCAGAAAUUUAAAAAAAUAUUCCACAAAAUAUUGG